AGUAGUAUUAUUAAAUUAUUAUAUAAUAUAAAUUUAGUUAUUAAUAUAAAAUAAACAUUUCUAGUUAAAAAUAUCAUUUUGUUGUUAUUAUAUAUUAUAGUUAAACUAUAUAAAAAAUAAAAAAAAUUAAAUUAAACAAGCAUGAAAAAGAUCGUGAUAAUCUUGUAUAAUAAAAUAUGACUUUUUAUCCACCAUUGCAGGGAGAUUAAUACAAGUAAAGUUUCAUUUUUAAUUAUUAGCUUCAAUGAGACUAAUUAUUAAUUUAUAAUGUUUACUAUAUUAAAACCACUAAAUAAAAAAAUUAUAUAACCAUAGAUAAAUAUUAAGCUAAAUUAAAUUAAGUCCUUGAGUCUAAAAUAUUUUACCAAGAUGAAAUAAAAAAUUCGCGAACUAGUACACGAUAAAUCGAAAAGCCGAGACAAAUUUUUUGCCCGCCAGCACACGUCACGAGGUCACCGGAGUCUGUUCGCCAAAAUUUUUCGAUGGUGACGAAAAUGAAAUCCAAGGAUGCUAAUUUGUAGAUCAUGGUGCUAGGAGUCUAGAUAUGUUGUUAUCUUCACCAAAUGACCAUUGGAAGGCUACCAAAAACCGAACAAGUCUGGUGAAACCACACCCACUCUGAUCACCGAACCAACGGCGAGAGGCUGCAAUUGUCCAGGUUGGAGUUUUAAGGGCCGAGGAAGCUAUUUCCGGCAUCGGAUUGGCCAAAAAAUGUCGGCAACGGAGGGUAGCUUUCUUUCCUCCUCCUUCGACGCUGUCUACGGCUUCAGGCAGAAAGAGGAGGCGUCAUGGUGUUGGUGAUGCUGAGAACUUCCCUUGGCCGAAGCUCGACAUCUAACAACUGCAUAAAACAAAAAUUGAAGGAGGGGAGGUCGAUGCCAACAAAAGGGAGAAGGGGGAGGAUAUGCAUAAAGACCUAACUUAAAUCUUUUUAAGAAGGAAAAAGUGUCUUUGAGCCCCUUAAAAUGAAAUUGCUACAGGAAAAAGUGUCUUUGAG
rnacentral:lncRNA from 1 species